GGCGUGCCUAACACAUGCAAGUCGAGCGGUCCAGCACUCAACUCGGUGUGUACGUGAUGCAGAAGAGAAACCCUUUCACCCGGGAGGGAAGAAGGGGGGUAGUGCAUCAGGUAUACAGCGAGUUGAGUGCUGGAUAGCGGCGGACGGGUGAGUAACGCGUGGAUAACCUGCCCAUUAGACCGGGAUAACGCCGGGAAACUGGCGCUAAUACCGGAUACGCUCCUCUGGUCGCAUGGCUGGGGGAGGAAAGGCCGAGCACUCAACCCGGUGUUUGCAUGGCGGUCUUACGGAAGGCAAUCUCCCGGGUAGGGGGGUAGCGGGUAAGGCGACAUGUAGGCAGCGGGUUGACUGCUGGCCGCUAAUGGAUGGGUCCGCGUCCCAUUAGCUAGAUGGUGGGGUAACGGCCUACCAUGGCGACGAUGAGGGGCCGGCGGGAGAGGGGGGGGGGCGACACUGGAACUGGGAUAUGGACCAGUCUCCUACGGGGGGCAGCUUGNGGGAAAACUNANCCAUGANGCGAACCCCUUGCGCGGCGGAGCCGCGAGGCCCANGAAGGCCUUGGAAAGUGAGGCUCCGUANGGNGGGAAGAANUAAGUGGAGGUACNNNANGAGGAAGCGCCGGCUAACUUGCCAGCAGCCGCGAUAANGGUGGGGGGCAAGAGUUAUCCAGAAUUACUGGGAGUGAAGNGANCGUAGGGAACUNNANAAGUAACAAGAGAAANAACGAGGAUCAAANANGAGNNUGANUGAGAAACGANAANGCUUGAGANNAGGAGAAGNGAGAGGAAUUCCANAAAGAGCGGUGAAAAGCGUAGANAAAGGNAGGAANACCAGUGGCGGANGCGGAGCAGGGAAAGGGNNCAGAGGCUGGGGAGCGAAAACAUGGAGAGCGAAGAAGAUUAAAAAGCAUGGUGGAAAGCGCNGGGAAAAGUGGAANAUAGGAAANANGAAGNAAGAANANANGNAUGCCANAAGGAACGAAAUCGGNANACCACGAGGGGAAUAAGGAAGCAAGAAUAAAAAUCAAAGAAAUAGAGGAAGGGAGNGACGAAGNGNGGAGGAUGUGGUUUAAAGCGAAAAAA
rnacentral:rRNA from 1 species